GACGAAAGUCUGACGGAGCAACGCCGCGUGAGUGAUGACGGCCUUCGGGUUGUAAAGCUCUGUUAAUCGGGACGAAAGGCCUUCUUGCGAAUAGUUAGAAGGAUUGACGGUACCGGAAUAGAAAGCCACGGCUAACUACGUGCCAGCAGCCGCGGUAAUACGUAGGUGGCAAGCGUUGUCCGGAAUUAUUGGGCGUAAAGCGCGCGCAGGCGGAUAGGUCAGUCUGUCUUAAAAGUUCGGGGCUUAACCCCGUGAUGGGAUGGAAACUGCCAAUCUAGAGUAUCGGAGAGGAAAGUGGAAUUCCUAGUGUAGCGGUGAAAUGCGUAGAUAUUAGGAAGAACACCAGUGGCGAAGGCGACUUUCUGGACGAAAACUGACGCUGAGGCGCGAAAGCCAGGGGAGCGAACGGGAUUAGAUACCCCGGUAGUCCUGGCCGUAAACGAUGGGUACUAGGUGUAGGAGGUAUCGACCCCUUCUGUGCCGGAGUUAACGCAAUAAGUACCCCGCCUGGGGAGUACGACCGCAAGGUUGAAACUCAAAGGAAUUGACGGGGGCCCGCACAAGCGGUGGAGUAUGUGGUUUAAUUCGACGCAACGC
rnacentral:rRNA from 1 species